ACCCUUCCCCGCCGUCCGUUCUGCCAGCUUCACCUCGGCGCCUUCCACCUCCUCUUCCUGCUCCGCCGCUCCACCCUCAUGGCGGCGGCGGCGGCGGCGGCUCUCCGUACCCCCGCGCGGCUGGGACUCGACGGUGCUGCCGCCGGGGAGCAGUGGCCGCGGAAGCGGCAGUGGCAGCGGCAGCGCGGGGCCCCGGCGCCUGUCGCCGUGCCGUGCCGGACGAAGGCGGCGGCGGCGGCGGCGGCGGCGGUCCGGUGCCAGCGAGCCGCCGGCGCCGCCGUUGUCGAGAAGAAGGAUGCGUCGGUGGCCGCUGCGCAGGAGGGAAGCGGCGACGCGGGCGCGGGGCCGGAGCUCACCGUCGUGAUGAAGUUCGGCGGGUCGUCGGUGGCCUCGGCCGAGCGGAUGCGGGAGGUGGCCGACCUCGUCCUCAGCUUCCCCGAGGAGCGGCCGGUCGUUGUGCUGUCCGCGAUGGGGAAGACCACCAACAAACUCCUCAUGGCUGGGGAAAAAGCAGUGAGCUGCGGCGCGGCGAACAUCUCCGAGCUCGACGAGCUCUCCUUUAUAAAGGAAUUGCACCUUGGGACGGUUGAUCAGCUUGGGCUAGAUAAGUCAAUCGUUGUUGGUUUGUUGGAUGAACUUGAACAACUUCUUAAGGGAAUUGCUAUGAUGAAAGAGCUGACUCUUAGGACACGAGAUUAUCUAGUUUCCUUUGGUGAAUGCAUGUCUACAAGAAUAUUUGCAGCGCUUUUAAACAAAAUUGGGGUAAAAGCUCGGCAGUAUGAUGCAUUUGAAAUUGGCUUUAUAACUACCGAUGAUUUCACAAAUGCGGAUAUUCUGGAAGCAACUUAUCCGGCUGUUGCAAAGAGGCUACAUGGAGACUGGAUUAACGAUCCUACUAUUCCUAUCGUCACUGGCUUUCUUGGAAAGGGAUGGAGAUCUGGUGCAAUAACCACCCUAGGCAGGGGUGGUAGCGACCUGACAGCUACAACCAUUGGCAAAGCCUUGGGGUUAAGAGAAAUCCAGGUUUGGAAAGAUGUUGAUGGUGUUUUAACAUGUGAUCCUAAUAUUCACCCGAAGGCAAAACCUGUGCCAUACUUAACAUUUGAUGAGGCAGCUGAACUUGCCUAUUUUGGUGCGCAGGUUUUGCAUCCACAAUCAAUGCGACCAGCUAGAGAAGGUGAUAUACCUGUUAGGGUUAAGAAUUCUUAUAACCGUCGAGCCCCUGGUACCCUCAUCACUAAAGAAAGAGAUAUGAGUGAGAGUAUUUUGACUAGCAUUGUAUUGAAAUCAAAUAUUACAAUGCUUGAUAUAGUGAGCACGCGCAUGCUUGGCCAAUAUGGUUUUCUAGCUAAGGUCUUUUCAAUAUUUGAAGAUUUGGGCAUCUCUGUUGAUUGUGUGGCUACCAGUGAAGUCAGCAUAUCUUUGACCCUGGAUCCAUCAAAACUAUGGAGUUGUGAAUUGGUUCAGCAGAAAAAUGAACUUGAUGAUGUCAUUGAAGAGCUGGAAAAGAUAGCAGUUGUUCAUCUCCUCCAGAACAGGUCAAUAAUAUCUUUAAUUGGAAAUGUGCAGAGGUCCUCUUUGAUUCUUGAAAAGGUAAGUGCUUUUAACCUUAGCUUCAUGGUUGUUAAUACUCCUGAUGCUGCAGUUGCAACCUUCAAUGUUCAAAGUUGAGCUAUGAACUAUGGUUAUUGGCUACAAUUCUAGGCAUUUAAUGUUUUACGAAGAAACGGUGUCAAUGUCCAGAUGAUCUCGCAAGGGGCAUCCAAGGUGAACAUUUCAUUGGUAGUCCAUGACAGUGAGGCAAAACAGUGUGUCCAAGCCCUCCAUUCUGCUUUCUUUGAGAAUGGCUUCUUGUCCGAAGUUGAUAAAAUGGAUGUUCUGCGCGAUGACUUCACAUCGCAUUCCAAAGGAACAGUUCGCAGCCAUUAGCUCAGAUUUUAAUAUAGCCCCCCGUUUUGCUACUGGGGUGUCAUUUGUAUUUUUCGAAAUAACUAUGAUCAAAUAAUUUUGGGUCGGCAUCCAAUGUCUCGUGACACCAGGAGGGGGUUUUGGUUUAUGGCUAUUUCCAACUUGAAAUAUACAACGGUGCCAGUAGUCCAAUGUCUGCUGAACUGUAAAGGGGGUGAGCACAUUAUUCGAUCCGUGUUGCUUGUUCUGACUCAAAUCUAUUUGGGGCGUGCUGGGCCGGAAUAUUCACAA